rnacentral:ribozyme from 13 species
UUCCUCUCUUUCUCUUGUCCUUGUUCUUUUUUUUCUCUUACAUUCUCUUUCUCUUUCUCUUCCCAAGCUGCAAAAAAUGGGGAGCAAGAACAAAGGAC